rnacentral:rRNA from 1 species
UACAGGGGGUGCAAGCGUUGCUCGGAAUCACUGGGCGUAAAGCGAACGCAGGCGGACCAUCAAGUCAGGGGUGAAAGCCCGAGGCUCAACCUCGGAACUGCCUUUGAAACUGGUGGUCUUGAGUACGGGAGAGGUGAGUGGAAUUCCUGGUGUAGAGGUGAAAUUCGUAGAUAUCAGGAGGAACACCGGUGGCGAAAGCGGCUCACUGGCCCGAUACUGACGCUCAUGAUUCGAAAGCGUGGGGAGCAAACAGG